rnacentral:rRNA from 1 species
GUGAAAUGGAGUUUAUCUGCCUGAAGAAAAGCUCGCGUCUGAUUAGCUAGUUGGUAAGGUAAUGGCUUACCAAGGCGACGAUCAGUAGCUGGUUUGAGAGGAUGAUCAGUCACACUGGAACUGAGACACGGUCCAGACUCCUACGGGAGGCAGCAGUGGGGAAUUUUCUGCAAUGGGCGCAAGCCUGACAGAGCAAUACCGCGUGAGGGAUGAAGGCUCGUGGGCUGUAAACCUCUUUUUUCAAGGAGGAAGUACUGACGUGUACUUGAAGAAUAAGCAUCGGCUAACUCCGUGCCAGCAGCCGCGGUAA